UAUAUCGCAUUGUAAUAGAAGAGCAAAAGAUAUUUUAAAUAGCAGAACCUAUCUUGCUUCAAUGAUAAUAUGGAAUAAUGCAUAGAGAACAACUAUCUUUGGUACCAUCGACUUUUUUCUCACAAAUAAUGGAUAUAAUUUUCAACCAUGUCUAUUUGUUUUAGAGACUAAGAAUGUGUGAGAUGUUCAUAGACCAUGGAGGCCUUUCUUAGCAGUCACUAGCAAUAAGAACUCCGAAGCACCACAUGCAAUAUAUCUUACCAAGCACGCUUCCAUUGACAAGAUUUGUCGUUGGUUAAUCAAGACCAAAAGUUUGCACUUGACUUAUGCUUAAGAACUUUCUUUCAGUUUCAAAAUCUAAAGAUGGUGGAGAUAGCAAGAAACUGCGAUACUGCAUGAUAAAUGGAGUAAAUGGCGAAAUGCCUGCAGACAUAUAUUCAAGAAAUAUAGAGACUCCUGUAUCAUUUGCCAGGAGAGUGCAUUCGGCAACACAAUUUCCACAAUCCUCCCCAGCCAGCACCUUUAAAUUCACAAGUACUUCAUCCAACAAAAAAGC